rnacentral:rRNA from 1 species
UACAGAGGGGGCAAGCGUUAUUCGGAAUUAUUGGGCGUAAAGGGCGCGUAGGCGGCUUUUCAAGUGGCGGGUGAAAUCCCUCGGCUUAACCGAGGAACUGCCUGCCAGACUGGAAGGCUUGAGACCGGGAGAGGUGAGUGGAAUUCCCAGUGUAGCGGUGAAAUUCGUAGAUAUUAGGAAGAACACCAGUGGCGAAGGCGGCUCACUGGCCCGGUACUGACGCUGAGGCGCGAAAGCGUGGGGAGCAAACAGG